CGUCUCGGGUGGUUCUGGCCGGUGGUCUUGUGCCGCGCCGUUCCCGGCCACGUGAGCGGCUCUGCUCACUCCCAGUCGCUUUUAGGGACUGGCGCUUCUUCCUUGCAUCUUCAGGGGCUGAGGUCUUGAAGGCGGGCUGCUUGCGCAUCCGUCUCGUCAGUUUUGAGAGGAAGCGCUUGUCCCCGCCCACGAAGGUGUCGUCGUUUUCUGGCGUGGCGCUAGGAGCACGCUAGGGUCCUGCGCCUGCUCUUACCGCAUGGAGGUUUUCUGUCCGUGCGUCGUCGCUCUCGCCGACCAACUUGGCUUGUAUUUUGAGGCGUGUUGUUGUUGGCGUUCUGUGUAGGGUUCGCCUGUGGUUGUGGUGUCUUGGCUUGGAGCCGCCCUGCCCGGGGGUGUCGAGUCAGGGCAAGGUGGCACAGGAACGAUGAGAGGCUAUGGCUUAUGUGUCAAAGUGCCUUGCUUCUUUGGGGGAAAUGAUGUGUGGCCCUCCUAGAUCGAGCGGCCGUUGUCAGUGGGUGAGAAGAAGAAUUCCCAUGGUGUUUUGUGGCUUCCCAGGGGCUGACGGUAGCUGUCGGGGAGAGGGAGCUCCUGCGUCAGCGGAGCAGAGAGCAUCUCAAGGACAUUCCGGCUUGGAUGUGGGUCGGGCGUAAUGCUUGGUUUACGGUGCUUAGAUGGCAGAGCAGGCCUAGCUGGGCUCUCGAUGGGCUUGCUACCUGGGAACAAGGCCUGUGGAAUGGCUAAGCUAUUGCUGUUCAUUGAGGGGACUUGUUUGAUAUUUUGGCAGAUGCCGAGGGAGGAGUCGUGCAGGGCGACGGAGGAGGGCCGAGGAUAGCGCUGUAAGCAGGUGGUGGUCGAGCUUGAACAUGGCAGUUGGAACUGAUGGCGUCCAGGUGCCGCAAUCAGCCUUCAGAGGGGAGACGACGCAUGGCGACGAGGGGUCCGAGAAGACUGUGUGCGGCUGCCUUUGGGACUGGAUGCGCGUUUGAGGGGCCACAAGGGAGGACAACAGUGUGAGUUGGGCACGGCCACAGAGCAAGUGAGCAGAGCAGCUGGGCGCAUCUGAGGUAGACGGAUGCAGCGGCCUAGGUCUUUGUAGAGUGAUGGGAUGCUGACUGACAGGGCUGUUGUGUGGGGCUUGUGAUAGUUUUUGUUUUUUUCAGAUGACGAAGAGGCAGCUGGUGACUGGAGGAGUGACGUGUGCUUGUCCUCCAGAAGGAAGGGAAGAGGGAGAGACUCGGCCCCUUGAAAGCUAAGUUGAGGCAACGGUGCUGGGGAAGGGGUUGGGGGAGCGAGGGGGGGCACGGUUGGCUGUGGCAGGAAGGGGUUCUAAAGAGAGCGUAGGGGAGAGGGUUGUCUAGGAAGCGGUCCCCUUUGAGCAGGGGAAUGGAGCGGGUUCCUCUGAAAUAUGACAGUAGUGUGCCCUGGGCAGGGCGGUUCCAGGCUGUGCGUGUCGUUGUGUAGUGCGUCUGUGUGUUGGGUGUGUUUGACCUUCCUCGGGUCUCGGGUGUUCUUUGUUCCGCAGGAUCUCGAGGCAGGUGCCUCGGCAGCGUUAGUAGGGCCCGGCGAGGCCCUAGUCGUGGGCACGGCGCCCAUCGGGCGCUUCUCUUUUGGCGUCGCAAGCUUCCGGCGUGGAUCGUUUUGGCGUCUCGGGUGGUUCUGGCCGGUGGUCUUGUGCCGCGCCGUUCCCGGCCACGUGAGCGGCUCUGCUCACUCCCAGUCGCUUUUAGGGACUGGCGCUUCUUCCUUGCAUCUUCAGGGGCUGAGGUCUUGAAGGCGGGCUGCUUGCGCAUCCGUCUCGUCAGUUUUGAGAGGAAGCGCUUGUCCCCGCCCACGAAGGUGUCGUCGUUUUCUGGCGUGGCGCUAGGAGCACGCUAGGGUCCUGCGCCUGCUCUUACCGCAUGGAGGUUUUCUGUCCGUGCGUCGUCGCUCUCGCCGACCAACUUGGCUUGUAUUUUGAGGCGUGUUGUUGUUGGCGUUCUGUGUAGGGUUCGCCUGUGGUUGUGGUGUCUUGGCUUGGAGCC